AAAAGUACACGGGAAGAAGUGUUGUGAUGUUGCAUUGCAUCUAAUGGCAUUUUCCCGUUAGAAUGUCUAGCAUAUCAUUUUCCAUUUCCUUUCAUAAGAGACUUGAUUUAAUCAGAUUUGCUCACUUCUAAAAAUAAAGCACAUAAUGUAACCCUCACGAGUUGUUUCAUAUUGCAUUAUACUGGUCGAAGGUGAGAAUCAAUGCUUCUUAUAUUCUGUGACUAAAAGUAUUGCCACAUAUGGAAACUCGUACGCUCUUCUGGAUCCUUGGCCUAAACACAAACCGUUGCUACGUUUUCCUAUAAUAUUAAUGUUUUGAUUUGAUAGUUCAACAUAUGUAACAAAACUACAUGGUUAAUUAGGUGCAAUAAUUUUUUUUCCCCCAUGUUUUUGUCCCAAAAACACUUUUCGGAUCAUUACCGUUUUCUGAUAUCUUGUAGGGCAUAUUUUAGAUAUGGGUUCAAUCAAAAGCUGUCCUUUUGAAUGCAACAAGACGGACCCGUCAUACUCAUUCGCGUUGGCAUCUGUUAAGUGGAGUCUACGGUAUGUGAAUCACAACUCUUUGAGUUCAUUGAUAACGAUAUAUACAUAUAUAUUGGAGAGAGAUUUUUUUAUUCCUUUGGUUUGCCAAAAAAGACACCAUAAAAGUAGAAAGCUUGAGAAACUUUGCUUUGCUUUAGCUUCUUGAUUAUGUUCUUUACUCGAAACUACAAAGUUAAGAGAAUAGUCACGUCAGGGGCAGAUGAAAAAGCUCUAUCACAAACUCUACAUUUGUGUUCUAUGAUGGACCACUCCACUCUCUUUGUUUCUCUCUCUACACCAUUUUGUCUUGUACAUUGUCUUCACUUACCCAUACGCACCAAAUCAUCAUCUGAGCUUAUUUCCAUCUUGAGCUAUAUUAUUCUUUGUUAAAAUCUUGAGUUUUUUUUUACCAUUGUAUGGAGAUGAGUCAACUAAAAAAUUUCUAUUCAUCAAGAUGUGUUUUUAUGAUCCUAUUUUGAAAAUUUCUAUUUGAGUCGCUGAGUGAUAUUAAUUGAAUAUUCAUUACUAUGUCCGACUGACCAUUUGUCUGGAAAUUUGUCUGAAUUUUGUCCGAAACAAUUAUGUUAAUUGGAAGCUGAAUCUUCAAAGACAUAUAAUAGCAUGUGGACACGUGAAAUGAUAAAAUUCGUUUCUAUCAUUUACGCACGCUUGGAAAAAAAAACAUAUAAUUGAGUUCUUAUUAUAUAUGAGUGAUGAGCAUCAGAAACAUCAUCAAAUGUUAACGAAAUAAAUUACGUUAACGUACGUAAGAUCCACACAUCGUACAUUUUCUCAUUCACAUACCUACCAGUUUUUCUUUCUCUAAAAGUUCAUAACAUUCUUAAAUUUUACUAAAUGAACUGGUUAAAACAUGUGUGGAAUAGAUAUUAUAGUUUUUUUUUCUGUGACGUUAAAGAUUAAGAUCAAGACUCACAUGAUCUUGCACAUUAGGACUCAAACCGUACCGGUAUGAAGACAUGCGGUUCUGAGCUGCGGAGCCACCCACUUGUAACGGUGGAUGCGGCUGAGAACCAGCCAAGGAUGAUAAA
rnacentral:lncRNA from 1 species